CAGCCUGGGGAAGUCUUGGCAGGGAAGACACAUGAGCAGUGCCUCCACUUCACGCCUCUCCCUUGUCUCCUUUCCCUAG
ensembl:miRNA